rnacentral:rRNA from 1 species
AUUGAACGCUGGCGGCAUGCUUUACACAUGCAAGUCGAACGGCAGCGCGGGCUUCGGCCUGGCGGCGAGUGGCGAACGGGUGAGUAAUGCAUCGGAACGUGCCCAGUAGUGGGGGAUAGCCCGGCGAAAGCCGGAUUAAUACCGCAUACGACCUGAGGGUGAAAGCGGGGGACCGAAAGGCCUCGCGCUAUUGGAGCGGCCGAUGUCGGAUUAGCUAGUUGGUGGGGUAAAGGCUUACCAAGGCGACGAUCCGUAGCUGGUCUGAGAGGACGACCAGCCACACUGGGACUGAGACACGGCCCAGACUGCUACGGGAGGCAGCAGUGGGGAAUUUUGGACAAUGGGGGCAACCCUGAUCCAGCCAUGCCGCGUGCGGGAAGAAGGCCUUCGGGUUGUAAACCGCUUUUGUUCGGGAAGAAAUCCUCUGGGCUAAUACCCCGGGGGGAUGACGGUACCGGAAGAAUAAGCACCGGCUAACUACGUG